ACAAAUGGCGAUAUUCAUAUGCCCAAUAUCAUCUGAUCUCGGAAGCCAAGCAGGGUUUGGGCCUGGUUAGUACCUGGAUGGGAGACUGCCUAGGAACACCGGGUGUUGUUGGCU
rnacentral:rRNA from 1 species